UACGAAGGGUGCUAGCGUUGUUCGGAAUUACUGGGCGUAAAGGGCGCGUAGGCGGUUGUAUCAGUCGGGCUUAUAAGUGCGGGGCUCAACCCCGUGAUGGGUUCGGGACGGUAUGACUGGGGCGCGGUCGAGGGAGACGGAAUGCCGGGUGUAGUGGUGAAAUGCGUAGAUAUCAGGAGGAACACCGGUGGCGAAGGCGGCCCUCUGGACGGAUACUGACGCUGAGGCGCGAAAGCGUGGGUAGCAAACAGG
rnacentral:rRNA from 1 species